AUGAACGCUGGCGGCGUGCCUAAUACAUGCAAGUCGAGCGAACGGACGAGAAGCUUGCUUCUCUGAUGUUAGCGGCGGACGGGUGAGUAACACGUGGAUAACCUACCUAUAAGACUGGGAUAACUUCGGGAAACCGGAGCUAAUACCGGAUAAUAUUUUGAACCGCAUGGUUCAAAAGUGAAAGACGGUCUUGCUGUCACUUAUAGAUGGAUCCGCGCUGCAUUAGCUAGUUGGUAAGGUAACGGCUUACCAAGGCAACGAUGCAUAGCCGACCUGAGAGGGUGAUCGGCCACACUGGAACUGAGACACGGUCCAGACUCCUACGGGAGGCAGCAGUAGGGAAUCUUCCGCAAUGGGCGAAAGCCUGACGGAGCAACGCCGCGUGAGUGAUGAAGGUCUUCGGAUCGUAAAACUCUGUUAUUAGGGAAGAACAUAUGUGUAAGUAACUGUGCACAUCUUGACGGUACCUAAUCAGAAAGUCACGGCUAACUACGUG
rnacentral:rRNA from 1 species